CCCUUAGAUGUUCUGGGCCGCACGCGCGCUACACUGAUGCAUUCAACAAGCCUAGCCUUGACCGAGAGGUCCGGGUAAUCUUUGAAACUACAUCGUGAUGGGGCUAGAUUAUUGCAAUUAUUAAUCUUCGACGAGGAAUGCCUAGUAAGCGUGAUUCAUCAAAUCGCGUUGAUUGCGUCCCUGCCCUUUGUACACACCGCCCGUCGCUCCUACCGAUUGAAUGUGUUGGUGAGGAGCUCGGAUUGGCAGCAGUUGGUGGUUCGCCACCGGCUAUUGCUGAGAAGUCCUCCAAACCGCCCCAUUUAGAGGAAGGAGAAGUCGUAACA
rnacentral:rRNA from 1 species